rnacentral:pre_miRNA from 1 species
GAACUACUCCUUUCGUUCGGAAUUACUUGUCGCAGAAAUGGAUGUAUCUAGACGUGUCUCGAAAAAUGGAUGUAUCUAGAACUAAAAUACGUCUAGAUACAUCCAUUUCUGCGACAAGUAAUUCCGAACGGAGAUACAUCCAUUUCUGCGACAAGUAAUUCCGAACGGAGGGAGUACAUA